rnacentral:rRNA from 1 species
AUUGAACGCUGGCGGCAGGCUUAACACAUGCAAGUCGAGCGGGGUGAUGGUGCUUGCACUAUCACUUAGCGGCGGACGGGUGAGUAAUGCUUAGGAAUCUGCCUAUUAGUGGGGGACAACAUCUCGAAAGGGAUGCUAAUACCGCAUACGUCCUACGGGAGAAAGCAGGGGAUCACUUGUGACCUUGCGCUAAUAAAUGAGCCUAAGUCGGAUUAGCUAGUUGGUGGGGUAAAGGCCUACCAAGGCGACGAUCUGUAGCGGGUCUGAGAGGAUGAUCCGCCAAACUGGGACUGAAACACGGCCCAGACUCCUACGGGAGGCAGCAGUGGGGAAUAUUGGACAAUGGGGGGAACCCUGAUCCAGCCAUGCAGCGUGUGUGAAGAAGGCCUUAUGGUUGUAAAGCACUUUAAGCGAGGAGGAGGCUCUUUUGGUUAAUACCCAAGAUGAGUGGACGUUACUCGCAGAAUAAGCACCGGCUAACUCUGUGCCAGCCGCCGCCGUAA